GACUGCCGGUGACAAACCGGAGGAAGGUGGGGAUGACGUCAAAUCAUCAUGCCCCUUAUGAUUUGGGCUACACACGUGCUACAAUGGACAAUACAAAGGGCAGCGAAACCGCGAGGUCAAGCAAAUCCCAUAAAGUUGUUCUCAGUUCGGAUUGUAGUCUGCAACUCGACUACAUGAAGCUGGAAUCGCUAGUAAUCGUAGAUCAGCAUGCUACGGUGAAUACGUUCCCGGGUCUUGUACACACCGCCCGUCACACCACGAGAGUUUGUAACACCCGAAGCCGGUGGAGUAACCUUUUAGGAGCUAGCCGUCGAAGGUGGGACAAAUGAUUGGGGUGAAGUCGUAACAAGGUAGCCGUAUCGGAAGGUGCGGCUGGAUCACCUCCUUU
rnacentral:rRNA from 1 species